UGGCUAUUCCGCGCGAUUCAAACU
rnacentral:miRNA from 1 species